GCCGGGCACGGUGGUGCAUGCCUGUAGUCCCAGCUACUCAGGAGGCUGAGGCUGGAGGAUCUCGAGUCCAGGAGUUCUGAGCUGUAGUGCGCUAUGCCGAUUGGGUGUCUGCACUAAGUUCAACAACAAUAUGGUGACCUCUCGGGAGUGGGGGACCACCAGGUUGCCUAAGGAGGGGUGAACUGGCCCAUGUCGGAAACAGAGCAGGUCAAAACUCCCAUGCUGAUCAGUAGUCGGAUCGCGCCUGUGAAUAGCCAGCGUGCUCCAGCCUGGGCAACAAAGCGAGACCCCGUCUCU
rnacentral:SRP_RNA from 1 species